AGAUGCUGCAAGUAGCCAGGCUGCAAGUGGUGGUAUACAGGAACAGGUUCUUAUCAGAAAGAUAAUUGAGCUGCAUGACAAGUAUAUGGCAUAUGUGAACGAUUUUUUUCAAAAUCAUACCCUCUUUCACAAGGCCAUGAAAGAAGCUUUUGAGAUAUUCUGUAAUAAAACAGUCGCUGGUAGCUCAAGUGCAGAACUACUGGCAACAUUCUGUGAUAAUAUACUCAAGAAGGGUGGAAGUGAGAAACUAAGCGAUGAAGACAUAGAAGAAAUGCUGGAGAAGGUAGUAAAAUUGCUGGCAUAUAUCAGUGAUAAGGACCUUUUUGCCGAAUUCUACAGAAAGAAGCUUGCUCGACGUCUUCUUUUUGACCGGAGUGCUAAUGA
rnacentral:misc_RNA from 1 species